rnacentral:rRNA from 1 species
GAACCUUUACUAUAGCUUGACACUGAACAUUGAGCCUUGAUGUGUAGGAUAGGUGGGAGGCUUAGAAGUGUGGACGCCAGUCUGCAUGGAGCCGACCUUGAAAUACCACCCUUUAAUGUUUGAUGUUCUAACGUUGACCCGUAAUCCGGGUUGCGGACAGUGUCUGGUGGGUAGUUUGACUGGGGCGGUCUCCUCCUAAAGAGUAACGGAGGAGCACGAAGGUUGGCUAAUCCUGGUCGGACAUCAGGAGGUUAGUGCAAUGGCAUAAGCCAGCUUGACUGCGAGCGUGACGGCGCGAGCAGGUGCGAAAGCAGGUCAUAGUGAUCCGGUGGUUCUGAAUGGAAGGGCCAUCGCUCAACGGAUAAAAGGUACUCCGGGGAUAACAGGCUGAUACCGCCCAAGAGUUCAUAUCGACGGCGGUGUUUGGCACCUCGAUGUCGGCUCAUCACAUCCUGGGGCUGAAGUAGGUCCCAAGGGUAUGGCUGUUCGCCAUUUAAAGUGGUACGCGAGCUGGGUUUAGAACGUCGUGAGACAGUUCGGUCCCUAUCUGCCGUGGGCGCUGGAGAACUGAGGGGGGCUGCUCCUAGUACGAGAGGACCGGAGUGGACGCAUCACUGGUGUUCGGGUUGUCAUGCCAAUGGCACUGCCCGGUAGCUAAAUGCGGAAGAGAUAAGUGCUGAAAGCAUCUAAGCACGAAACUUGCC